rnacentral:rRNA from 1 species
AGUGAACGCUGGCGGUAGGCCUAACACAUGCAAGUCGAACGGCAGCACAGUAAGAGCUUGCUCUUACGGGUGGCGAGUGGCGGACGGGUGAGGAAUACAUCGGAAUCUACUUUUUCGUGGGGGAUAACGUAGGGAAACUUACGCUAAUUCCGCAUACGACCUACGGGUGAAAGCAGGGGAUCUUCGGACCUUGCGCGAUUGAAUGAGCCGAUGUCGGAUUAGCUAGUUGGCGGGGUAAAGGCCCACCAAGGCGACGAUCCGUAGCUGGUCUGAGAGGAUGAUCAGCCACACUGGAACUGAGACACGGUCCAGACUCCUACGGGAGGCAGCAGUGGGGAAUAUUGGACAAUGGGCGCAAGCCUGAUCCAGCCAUACCGCGUGGGUGAAGAAGGCCUUCGGGUUGUAAAGCCCUUUUGUUGGGAAAGAAAAGCAGCAGGUUAAUACCCCGCUGUUCUGACGGUACCCAAAGAAUAAGCACCGGCUAACUUCG